AAACGCCUCACAUGCAGACUAUCAGGAGGGCACCAAUUUAUCUGCGACUGACAUAGAGACGCAAUAAUUUGCCGAUGUUCCCUGAACGCCUCACAUGCACUGCAAGACGCCGGCAAAUCUCCUCAGUGAGUAGCACAGCAGGCGUCACCAAAAUGUAGUUAGAAAGGAGUAAAAAUAAAGCGUUGUCAUGUAAGAUUUACAGCAGUUGAGGCUGUGUGAUUCCAUCUACCGGAUCAGACCGUCCAGAGAUGCAAUCUAAAUGUCACUUGCGACCAAUUUUUACUUGCACCUGAAAUAUGUUUGAACGCGUGUCCAAAAUGCUUGGAGGCCCAGUACAUAACCAGUAAACUUAUUCGGAUCUUAUGAGGAGUUGAUAUCUGCUAAUGAUGACAGCUUUGUGUUCAAAUGCUGCCACCAGUGAGGGUCUCAUAUUGGCCUAUUGCAACCUCCAGCUUCCUUCAGCUUCCUUCACCCAUGCUCCAGGUGACAAGCCUCUCCAAGGACUUACCAGUCUGCGCACAAUCGAGUCAAGGAGUGGAGGCAGAGGGGCUGUCAUUGUCCAGGGAUGUGAACCUGCAACCUUUUCAAUUUCACCCGGCGCUUCAAAGCCCUUCCGCCUGGACGAUCUCACGUCCUGGACAAAGGUCAGAAGACUUGACAAAGUUCCAAAAGCCUGGUGGCACUGCACCGGGGAGCAAAAUGGAUGAAAAUGUGACUGGGUUCAACAAAGGAAAAUGAUUACUGACAGGGUAGAUACACAGCAACUGCAGAGUUGUUUGAAAAUUUUAUGUGGAGGGUGUAGCUGUUGUGUGUGUGAUAUAAACAUAAAGAUUCAGAAAGGACAGUUUAAAGAAAAGACAACUGUGAUGCAAAGCAUAUUUUGAGCCUUUUAUAAAAGAUUCAAGAAUAUUCACAGAUUUGGAGUUCAGCUAAGUACAUUUAUUCAAGUACUGUGUCUGAGUACAGUUUUGUACUUCACUUGAGUAUUUCCAUUUUAUCCUACUUUCUACCCCACUACAUUUAUUUGACAGCUUUAGUUACUUUUAGGAUGGAUAUUUC
ensembl:lncRNA